AAAGCGGCAGCAUUUUUCCUUAUUGGUAAAAUGAAAAUAACAGAGUAUUUUUAUGAAGCACUGGUACCUGACCCACAGUUGAUCCCACUACUCUGCGAUGUUAUGUCCAAGGACACCAUGAUAACCUGCAGUGAGAGAUGAUGAUCCACACAACACAGGUUGAUGAGUUGAAAGUAGGUUGGACGCAUGAUGUCGUGUUAUGCUCAUGGAAAUCCUUAGAGGUGGGUAUUGCUCUUAGAGUCAAUUACAAAAUAAAAGACACAUGUAAAGACAUUUAUCAUAGAGAGUGAAGGGAAGGUCAGAAUUUGAACCUAGUUUUGUCAAAAGCCAAAAUAUGCAUUUUAAUCUUUGCACUAAUUUCUAUCAUGAGCUCCACCAACACAGAUUAUGACCUGUCCCUACUUCCUUUCUCCUGCUGAACACUCAGUGAUGCACACUGGGAUCAAUAAAUAGCUGAAAGAAAACUAAUGAGUAAAUGAGAACUAGUCUCAUUUGCCCUUCUCUAGGGAAAAAUUUAGCCAAUUUAGGGAGGAAUGCCUUAAUCCUUAGGCCCACUUUUAUUCCCUUUUCUUUCUUGCCUGUAAAAAUGACUUUGUAACAAGCCUGAAACACGUACUGCUCAUUCUUUCGUGUAAAAACGGCACAAGCAAUCUCCAGACACACCCCAUUUAUAACGAAAAGGAUAAAUGACAAGUCUAUUGUGAAAGUUUUGAUCAGUCCUAUUAGCCAAGGUCCAAAGAAGAUUUUGUACAACCGUUUUGAAAAAACAAACCCAGGUGGAUUUUAUGCAGGUUUCUGCGCAUUUGCCUCACAAUGAAUGAUUGACACUUCAGAUUGACAAAAUGUCGAAUUCCUUCAAAGACUUCCAAACAGGAUGAAAUGGGAUAACUGCUUUUCAUGUUUCCAGAGAGACUGCUGACCUUAGUGAUUAACCUCUCCUUUGCCAAAUUAGUUAGGCAUUUUUCUUUCCACUCUCUUUACUCUUAGAGCUUCCCUGAGAAAUAAAAUAAUCUGGACUAGACUGGAGGUGCUGUUCUUGAACCAAUAUGGAGCACUGUGCCCACACAUGGCAUUAUAACCUAAUGAAUUCAUUGCACUUAAGCAGACAGUGAAUUGCCAAUCUGAAUCAUUUUUAAUCCGUGCAGCUUGGAGGAUGAUAUCAGAAUCUGACUCAUAUUUUUGAAAAAGGGGGUAUACCAUGGGGUUUACGGCAUUCUUUAGGUCUGUGAAAGUUCAACCUGUUCAGCCCCCAUUAGGAGCCAGACCCUAGUAUUACAUAGUCUGACCCACAUCUUGAUUUGAAAUUCUGAAAAUUCUCAUUUGGUUGCAUGAGUCCUCAUCACUUCUAGGAUUUGGAAUGAGAUCUGCACACAGGUGGGAGAGGGAAUGUGUAGCAGGAAGAGAAAUUGGCACAGAAAUAAGAUAGGCCUGGUUUUAAGUCAUUGCUCUGCCACUUACUAGUGUGUAUGCCAAUGUGGGCCAAUUUGUUUUAAUGGCUUCAGAAUAAAUCCCAAACCCCACCAGUACUUUUUCAAAUGUCUGCUAAUUGGUUUCACUGGAAAUCCUGCAGCGAUUAUUUGGAACAUUUGUUGCAAUUCUAUUACCAUGUCAAAAAAAAAAAAAACGUGUAUUGCCAGUCCUCUCCUUUCACUGCUGCCAGUCAUGAGGCUAAACUGCAAAUCAUGUCACUGCCCCAAUAAAGCCUUCAAGAGCUCCACGUGCCUGGAGAAUAUGGUCCAAGGUCCUAAGUGGAAUGUGGAAAAAAGCCUCGUGCAUCAUCCUUGCCUCUGUUCCUACCACUGCCUAGCUCAACCUCUAUUUUUCAGUUCUUUGAAACGGAUGUGCUUUAAGUGUGCAGCUUGACAUGUGGUUGUAUUCAUGAAACCGUCAUGGGUAUGAAGAGAGUAAAGGUAUUCAUCGCCAUAGAGGUUUCUCUUACCCCUUUCAAUCCCUCCUCUCCUGCCCAUUUCACUGUCCCCACUAUCAAUCUUUCCUUUCUUUCACUAUCAAUUAGUUUGUAUUUUCUAGAUUUUUAUAUAAAUGGAGAUCAAACAGUAUGUGCCUUUUAAAAAAAAAUUGGCUUCUUUAUCUCAAAAUAACAUUAUGAGAUUCUUCUACAUUGCUGCAUAUGUAAGAAGUUCAUUCCUUUUCAAUGCCUUCUAUGUUACGGCCAUACAAUAGCUGAUACAGUCAUUCACCUGCGGAUCUGUGUUUACAUUGUUUCCAGUUCGGUGGUACUACGAAUGUUGCUAUAAACAACCACCUGUCAUCUUCAUGUAGGUAGAUUCUUUUAUUUGGGGGUGGGGUAAAUCUUUAAAAAGGUAAUGGCUGAAUCAAUGGGAGAUGUGUUUAAAUUACCAAGAGCUUGCACCAUUUUGCACGAUGGCCUGCAAUACACGAGUUUUCCACCUGCUCCAUGUGCUCACCAACAAGUUUUGUCAUCGUCAUUCUUCCCAAUUUUAGACAUUGCGGUAGGUGUAGAGUGGCAUCAUUUAGGUUUUUAAUUUAUAUUUCCUUAAUGGCUAAUGACAAAUGCUUAUUUAAAAUCUUAUGUGUUCUUUGGUAAAGUGUCUGUACAAAUCUCUUGUUUGUUUAUUAUGAGUUUGUUUGACUUCUCACAAUGACACCUGGAGUGUUGUUUAUAUACCCUGGAAUAAUCUCUGUUAUCAGGUAUUUGAUGUGCAAACAAGUUUUCCAAGUAUUUUAAAAUAUUCUUUUAGUUGCGUCUUUUAAAAGGCACAAAUAUUUAAUUGUGAUAAAAUCCAAUCGAUGAAUUUUUUUUUAAUAGAUCUUGCUUUUGGUGUCAUAUCUAGGAAAACUUUACCUAAACCAAAGCCAAAAUGUUUUUUUCCCCUGUUUUCUUCUAGAAGAUUUAUAGUUUUAUAUUUUAAACUUAGAUUUAUGAUCCUUUUUUGUUACUUUUUGUAUUUAGAAAGAGGUAUGGACAAUGAGUCCACAUUUUUUGCAUGUGAAUAUCCAAUUGUUCCAAAACCUUUUGCUGAAAAUACUAUCUUUCCCCAUUGGACUAGUUUUGUCAAAAAUCAAUUAUUUCUAAGUGUGUGACUCUUUAUUCUGUUCUCUUGAUCUGUAUGUCUAUCUUUAUGCCCUGACAGGUUCCUGUAGCAUUAUAAUAAGUGUUCAAGUUAGGUACCAUAAUUCCUUCAAAUUUACACUUACUUUUCAAUGUUCUUUAGCCUACUCUAGGUACUUUGUAUUGUCAUAAAAACUUUCAUAUCAGGUAGUCAAUUUUUUAACAGAAACAUCUGAUGGGAUUUUUAUUGGAAUUGCAUUGAAUCUCUAUAGACAAAUUUAACAAGAAUUAAAAUCUCAAUAUAGAAUUUUGCAAUUCAUAAAUACAGAUUAUUUCUCCACUUAUUUAGGCCUUUUUUUUUUUUUUUGCUUUUGCUUUCAGGAUGCAAGUUUUACACAUCUUCCACCAGAUUUUUUCUUAGGCAUGUCACAUAUUUGAUACUCUUUUCAAAGGUACGUUUAAAUCUCAAUUUUUAAUUGUAUUCUACAACCUUGCUAAACUUACUUAGGUGUAACAGUUCUUUUGGUAGAUUGCAUAGGAUUCUCUACAUAGACAACCAUGUAAUUUACAAAUAAAGACAGUUUUAAUCUUUACAUUCCAUUCUGGAUCUUUCUCCCUCUCUUUCUGUCUCUCUCUCUUUUUUUUUUUUUUUUUUUUUUUUUUUGUUGUUGUUGUUGUUGUUGUUGUUGUUGUCUUUAUAGGGCUGCACCUGCAGCAUACGGAGGUUCCCAGGCUAGGGGUCUAGUUGGAGCUGUAGCCUCUGGCCUAUGCCAUAGCCACAGCAAUGCCAAAUCUGAGCUGUGUCUGAGACCUACACCACAGCACAUGGCAACACAGGAUC
rnacentral:lncRNA from 1 species